rnacentral:tRNA from 1 species
GGAAGGAUACGAAUCAAUAAGUGCUGCUAAUACUUAUAUCCCGAGGUUAAAAUCCUCGGCUUCUUU